rnacentral:rRNA from 1 species
AAAGCAUAUCAAUAAGCGGAGGAAAAGAAACCAACAGGGAUUGCCUCAGUAACGGCGAGUGAAGCGGCAACAGCUCAAAUUUGAAAUCUGGCUCUCGGGCCCGAGUUGUAAUUUGCAGAGGGUGUUUCGAGCGAGAUGCCGGCCUAAGUCCCUUGGAACAGGGCGUCAUGGAGGGUGAGAAUCCCGUCUGCGGCCGGUGGUCAAGUUCAUGUGAAACCCCUUCGACGAGUCGAGUUGUUUGGGAAUGCAGCUCAAAAUGGGUGGUAAAUUCCAUCUAAAGCUAAAUACCGGCCAGAGACCGAUAGCGCACAAGUAGAGUGAUCGAAAGAUGAAAGCACUUUGAAAGAGAGUUAAACAGUAUGUGAAAUUGUUGAAGGGAAGCGCUUGCGAUCAGACUUGCACCAGGUGAUCACCGANCUUCUGGCCGGUGCACUCGCCCUGGUUCNGNAGCAUCGGUCUGGGCGUCGAUACAGUCGGAGAUG